GCUUGUCUCAAAGAUUAAGCCAUGCAUGUCUCAGUAUAAGUUCCUGUACGGCGAAACUGCGAAUGGCUCAUUAAAACAGUUAUAGUUUAUUUGAUGGUCGUUCCUUACAUGGAUAACUGUGGUAAUUCUAGAGCUAAUACAUGCACCCAUGCCCGACUUUGUGGAAGGGUUGUGUUUAUUAGUUACAGAACCAACCCAGGCUCUGCCUGGUCUUGUGGUGAUUCAUAAUAACCAAGCGAAUCGUCGGUUUACCGACGAUAGAUCGUUCAAGUUUCUGACCUAUCAGCUUUGGUCGGUAGGGUAUUGGCCUACCGAGGCAAUGACGGGUAACGGAGAAUUAGGGUUCGAUUCCGGAGAGGGAGCCUGAGAAACGGCUACCACAUCUAAGGAAGGCAGCAGG
rnacentral:rRNA from 1 species